rnacentral:rRNA from 1 species
AUGCACGCUGGCGGCGUGCCUAAUACAUGCAAGUCGCGCGAACAGACGAGGAGCUUGCUCCUCUGACGUUAGCGGCGGACGGGUGAGUAACACGUGGAUAACCUACCUAUAAGACUGGGAUAACUUCGGGAAACCGGAGCUAAUACCGGAUAAUAUAUUGAACCGCAUGGUUCAAUAGUGAAAGACGGUUUUGCUGUCACUUAUAGAUGGAUCCGCGCCGUAUUAGCUAGUUGGUAAGGUAACGGCUUACCAAGGCAACGAUGCGUAGCCGACCUGAGAGGGUGAUCGGCCACACUGGAACUGAGACACGGUCCAGACUCCUACGGGAGGCAGCAGUAGGGAAUCUUCCGCAAUGGGCGAAAGCCUGACGGAGCAACGCCGCGUGAGUGAUGAAGGUCUUCGGAUCGUAAAACUCUGUUAUUAGGGAAGAACAAAUGUGUAAGUAACUAUGCACGUCUUGACGGUACCUAAUCAGAAAGCCACGGCUAACUACGUG